GGAGUCUGGACCGUGUCUCAGUUCCAAUGUGGGGGACCUUCCUCUCAGAACCCCUAACCAUCGUCGGCACGGUGGGCCGUUACCCCGCCGUCUACCUAAUGGUACGCGAGCCAAUCCGUAUGCAAUGAAUCUUUCAAUAAACUCCCAUGCGAGAAUUUAUAUUACGGGGUAUUACGCGACGUUUCCAUCGACUAUCCCCCACAUACGGGCAUGUUGCUCACGCGUUACUCACCCUUUCGCCGGUCGCCGGCAUGUAUUGCUACACCCGCUGCCCCUCGACUUGCAUGUGUUAAGCCUGCCGCUAGCGUUCAUC
rnacentral:rRNA from 1 species